ensembl:miRNA
UUGUUGGGGACAUUUUUAAAGCAUGGAUUGGUUAUUGAUUUGUCCUUUAAAUUGUGCCCUCAAG